rnacentral:rRNA from 1 species
GGUUAAGCGACUAAGCGUACACGGUGGAUGCCCCUGGCAGUCAGAGGCGAUGAAGGACGUGCUAAUCUGCGAUAAGCGUCGGUAAGGUGAUAUGAACCGUUAUAACCGGCGAUUUCCGAAUGGGGAAACCCAGUGUGAUUCGUCACACUAUCAUUAACUGAAUCCAUAGGUUAAUGAGGCGAACCGGGGGAACUGAAACAUCUAAGUACCCCGAGGAAAAGAAAUCAACCGAGAUUCCCCCCAGUAGCGGCGAGCGAACGGGGAGCAGCCCAGAGCCUGAAUCAGUGUGUGUGUUAGUGGAAGCGUCUGGAAAGGCGCGCGAUACAGGGUGACAGCCCCGUACACAAAAAUGCACAUACUGUGAGCUCGAUGAGUAGGGCGGGACACGUGGUAUCCUGUCUGAAUAUGGGGGACCAUCCUCCAAGGCUAAAUACUCCCUGACUGACCGAUAGUGAACCAGUACCGUGAGGGAAAGGCGAAAAGAACCCCGGCGAGGGGGAGUGAAAAAGAACCUGAAACCGUGUACGUACAAGCAGUGGGGAGCCUCUUUUAUGGGGUGACUGCGUACCUUUGUAUAAUGGGUCAGCGACUUAUAUUCUGUAGCAAGGUUAACCGAAUAGGGGAGCCGAAGGGAAACCGAGUCUUAACCGGGCGUUAAGUUGCAGGGUAUAGACCCGAAACCCGGUGAUCUAGCCAUGGGCAGGUUGAAGGUUGGGUAACACUAACUGGAGGACCGAACCGACUAAUGUUGAAAAAUUAGCGGAUGACUUGUGGCUGGGGGUGAAAGGCCAAUCAAACCGGGAGAUAGCUGGUUCUCCCCGAAAGCUAUUUAGGUAGCGCCUCGUGAAUUCAUCUCCGGGGGUAGAGCACUGUUUCGGCAAGGGGGUCAUCCCGACUUACCAACCCGAUGCAAACUGCGAAUACCGGAGAAUGUUAUCACGGGAGACACACGGCGGGUGCUAACGUCCGUCGUGAAGAGGGAAACAACCCAGACCGCCAGCUAAGGUCCCAAAGUCAUGGUUAAGUGGGAAACGAUGUGGGAAGGCCCAGACAGCCAGGAUGUUGGCUUAGAAGCAGCCAUCAUUUAAAGAAAGCGUAAUAGCUCACUGGUCGAGUCGGCCUGCGCGGAAGAUGUAACGGGGCUAAACCAUGCACCGAAGCUGCGGCAGCGACACUGUGUGUUGUUGGGUAGGGGAGCGUUCUGUAAGCCUGUGAAGGUGUACUGUGAGGUAUGCUGGAGGUAUCAGAAGUGCGAAUGCUGACAUAAGUAACGAUAAAGCGGGUGAAAAGCCCGCUCGCCGGAAGACCAAGGGUUCCUGUCCAACGUUAAUCGGGGCAGGGUGAGUCGACCCCUAAGGCGAGGCCGAAAGGCGUAGUCGAUGGGAAACAGGUUAAUAUUCCUGUACUUGGUGUUACUGCGAAGGGGGGGACGGAGAAGGCUAUGUUGGCCGGGCGACGGUUGUCCCGGUUUAAGCGUGUAGGCUGGUUUUCCAGGCAAAUCCGGAAAAUCAAGGCUGAGGCGUGAUGACGAGGCACUACGGUGCUGAAGCAACAAAUGCCCUGCUUCCAGGAAAAGCCUCUAAGCAUCAGGUAACAUCAAAUCGUACCCCAAACCGACACAGGUGGUCAGGUAGAGAAUACCAAGGCGCUUGAGAGAACUCGGGUGAAGGAACUAGGCAAAAUGGUGCCGUAACUUCGGGAGAAGGCACGCUGAUAUGUAGGUGAAGUCCCUCGCGGAUGGAGCUGAAAUCAGUCGAAGAUACCAGCUGGCUGCAACUGUUUAUUAAAAACACAGCACUGUGCAAACACGAAAGUGGACGUAUACGGUGUGACGCCUGCCCGGUGCCGGAAGGUUAAUUGAUGGGGUCAGCGCAAGCGAAGCUCUUGAUCGAAGCCCCGGUAAACGGCGGCCGUAACUAUAACGGUCCUAAGGUAGCGAAAUUCCUUGUCGGGUAAGUUCCGACCUGCACGAAUGGCGUAAUGAUGGCCAGGCUGUCUCCACCCGAGACUCAGUGAAAUUGAACUCGCUGUGAAGAUGCAGUGUACCCGCGGCAAGACGGAAAGACCCCGUGAACCUUUACUAUAGCUUGACACUGAACAUUGAGCCUUGAUGUGUAGGAUAGGUGGGAGGCUUUGAAGUGUGGACGCCAGUCUGCAUGGAGCCGACCUUGAAAUACCACCCUUUAAUGUUUGAUGUUCUAACGUGGACCCGUGAUCCGGGUUGCGGACAGUGUCUGGUGGGUAGUUUGACUGGGGCGGUCUCCUCCUAAAGAGUAACGGAGGAGCACGAAGGUUGGCUAAUCCCCGGUCGGACAUCAGGAGGUUAGUGCAAUGGCAUAAGCCAGCUUGACUGCGAGCGUGACGGCGCGAGCAGGUGCGAAAGCAGGUCAUAGUGAUCCGGUGGUUCUGAAUGGAAGGGCCAUCGCUCAACGGAUAAAAAGGUACUCCGGGGAUAACAGGCUGAUACCGCCCAAGAGUUCAUAUCGACGGCGGUGUUUGGCACCUCGAUGUCGGCUCAUCACAUCCUGGGGCUGAAGUAGGUCCCAAGGGUAUGGCUGUUCGCCAUUUAAAGUGGUACGCGAGCUGGGUUUAGAACGUCGUGAGACAGUUCGGUCCCUAUCUGCCGUGGGCGCUGGAGAACUGAGGGGGGCUGCUCCUAGUACGAGAGGACCGGAGUGGACGCAUCACUGGUGUUCGGGUUGUCAUGCCAAUGGCACUGCCCGGUAGCUAAAUGCGGAAGAGAUAAGUGCUGAAAGCAUCUAAGCACGAAACUUGCCCCGAGAUGAGUUCUCCCUGACCCUUUAAGGGUCCUGAAGGAACGUUGAAGACGACGACGUUGAUAGGCCGGGUGUGUAAGCGCAGCGAUGCGUUGAGCUAACCGGUACUAAUGAACCGUGAGGCUUAACCUU